rnacentral:rRNA from 1 species
GACGAACGCUGGCGGCGUGCUUAACACAUGCAAGUCGAGCGGUAAGGCCCUUUCGGGGGUACACGAGCGGCGAACGGGUGAGUAACACGUGGGUGACCUGCCCUCAGCUCUGGGAUAAGCCUGGGAAACUGGGUCUAAUACUGGAUAUGACUCCACGGUGCAUGUCGUGGGGUGGAAAGCCUUGUGCGGCUGAGGAUGGGCCCGCGGCCUAUCAGCUUGUUGGUGGGGUGANGGCCUACCAAGGCGACGACGGGUAGCCGGCCUGAGAGGGCGACCGGCCACACUGGGACUGAGACACGGCCCAGACUCCUACGGGAGGCAGCAGUGGGGAAUCUUGCGCAAUGGGCGAAAGCCUGACGCAGCGACGCCGCGUGAGGGAUGACGGCCUCGGUUGUAACGUAC